rnacentral:sRNA from 1 species
CGUCGGCUCGGGGCUGCUGGUGAGCGCGGCAGGCGACCCGGGCGGGGGCCGGGCUCCCGGAGAGCCCAGCAGGCCAAAGGCUUUGUGUCUUCCACAGAGCGUUUCCGUGGGACUUGUGGCCCUCCUGGCGUCCAGGAACCUUCUUCGCCCUCCACUGCACUGGGUCCUGCUGGCACUAGCUCUGGUGAACCUGCUCUUGUCCGCUGCCUGCUCCCUGGGCCUCCUUCUUGCUGUGUCACUCACUGUGGCCAACGGUGGCCGCCGCCUUAUUGCUGACUGUCACCCAGGACUGCUGGAUCCUCUGGUACCACUGGAUGAGGGGCCGGGACAUACUGACUGCCCCUUUGACCCCACAAAAAUCUAUGAUACAGCCUUGGCUCUCUGGAUCCCUUCUUUGCUCAUGUCUGCAGGGGAGGCUGCUCUAUCUGGUUACUGCUGUGUGGCUGCACUUACUCUACGUGGAGUUGGGCCCUGCAGGAAGGACGGACUUCAGGGGCAGCUAGAGGAAAUGACAGAGCUUGAAUCUCCUAAAUGUAAAAGGCAGGAAAAUGAGCAGCUACUGGAUCAAAAUCAAGAAAUCCGGGCAUCACAGAGAAGUUGGGUUUAGGAAGCAGGUGCUGUUCCGAGACUCAGUCCUAAAGGGGUUUUUUUCCCACUAAGCAAGGGGCCCUGACCUCGGGAUGAGAUAACAAAUUGUAAUAAAGUAACUUCUCUUUUCUUCUA